UACGGGGGGUGCGAGCGUUGUCCGGAAUUAUUGGGCGUAAAGGGCUCGUAGGCGGUUUGUCGCGUCGGGAGUGAAAUCCACUGGCUUAACUGGUGGCUUGCUUUCGAUACGGGCAGACUGGAGGUAUGCAGGGGAGAACGGAAUUCCUGGUGUAGCGGUGAAAUGCGCAGAUAUCAGGAGGAACACCGGUGGCGAAGGCGGUUCUCUGGGCAUGUCCUGACGCUGAGGAGCGAAAGCUAGGGGAGCAAACGGG
rnacentral:rRNA from 1 species